GACGAACGCUGGCGGCGUGCUUAACACAUGCAAGUCGAACGGUAAGGCCCUUCGGGGUACACGAGUGGCGAACGGGUGAGUAACACGUGGGUGAUCUGCCCUGCACUUCGGGAUAAGCCUGGGAAACUGGGUCUAAUACCGGAUAGGACUCCUGGCUUCAUGGUUGGGGGUGGAAAGCUUUUGCGGUGUGGGAUGGGCCCGCGGCCUAUCAGCUUGUUGGUGGGGUAAUGGCCUACCAAGGCGACGACGGGUAGCCGGCCUGAGAGGGUGACCGGUGACACUGGGACUGAGAGACGGCCCAGACUCCUACGGGAGGCAGCAGUGGGGAAUAUUGCACAAUGGGCGCAAGCCUGAUGCAGCGACGCCGCGUGAGGGAUGACGGCCUUCGGGUUGUAAACCUCUUUCAGCUAUGACGAAGCGCAAGUGACGGUAGUAGCAGAAGAAGGACCGGCCAACUACGUGCCAGCCGCCGCAGUAA
rnacentral:rRNA from 1 species